rnacentral:ncRNA from 1 species
CCAAUANCACAAYGUUUUGGUCCCAAACUUGCCGCUACUUUUUWNUAGAYUUACACAUGCAAGCAUCCACAUUCCGGUGAAAAUGCCCACCUAAACCUAAGAGCAAGUGGAGCCGGUAUCAGGCACAAUCUAUUUUUAGCCAAUGACACCUUGCCCUGCCACACCCCCACGGGUCUACAGCAGUGAUUAAUAUUAAACAUAAGCGAAAGCUUGAUUUAGUCAUAGUAAUUUAAGGGCCGGUAAAUUUCGUGCCAGCCACCGCGGUUAUACGAAAGACCCAAAAUAACGGCCCCCGGCGUAAAGCGUGGCUAGAAUUAAUACCAAAUUUAAGGACAAACAUCUUCUUCGCUGUGAAACGCUUAAGAAGACAAGAAUAUUAACACCUUAAACCUCUUUAACUCCACGAAAGCUAGGACACAAACUGGGAUUAKAUACCCCACUAUGCCUAGCCYUAAACUUAGAUAGCAAAAUAACAAAAUACUACCUAUCCGCCAGAGAACUACAAGCAAAAUACUUAAAACUCAAAGGACUUGGCGGCAUUCCACAUCCACCUAGAGGAGCCCGUCCAAUAAUCGAUAAUACCCGUUCAACCCUACCAUUUUUGGCCACUCCAGCCUAUAUACCGCCGUCGUCAGUUAACCUUGUGAAAGAAAAGUAGUAAACACAAUAGCCCUCGCUAAAACGUCAGGUCAAGGUGUAGCUAAUAAAAUGGAUGAGAUAGGCUACAUUUUCUACGAUAGAAAACACGGAAAAUACAAUGAAACUUGUAAUAGAAGGCGAAUUUAGAAGUAAAAUUAGAAAGGAUCCUUAUUUUAACACUGCCCUGGAAUGCGCACACACCGCCCGUCACCCUCCUCAAACAAGAUGAGGUAAG